GGGGAGGUGCCAGAGUGGUUGAUUGGGACCGCCUGCUAAGCGGUUAACGGGGCUAAAUCCUCGUUCGCGGGUUCGAAUCCCGCCCUCCCCG
rnacentral:tRNA from 1 species